UGCAAGUCGAACGCUUUUUCUUUCACCGGAGCUUGCUCCACCGAAAGAAAAAGAGUGGCGAACGGGUGAGUAACACGUGGGUAACCUGCCCAUCAGAAGGGGAUAACACUUGGAAACAGGUGCUAAUACCGUAUAACACUAUUUUCCGCAUGGAAGAAAGUUGAAAGGCGCUUUUGCGUCACUGAUGGAUGGACCCGCGGUGCAUUAGCUAGUUGGUGAGGUAACGGCUCACCAAGGCAACGAUGCAUAGCCGACCUGAGAGGGUGAUCGGCCACACUGGGACUGAGACACGGCCCAGACUCCUACGGGAGGCAGCAGUAGGGAAUCUUCGGCAAUGGACGAAAGUCUGACCGAGCAACGCCGCGUGAGUGAAGAAGGUUUUCGGAUCGUAAAACUCUGUUGUUAGAGAAGAACAAGGAUGAGAGUAAAAUGUUCAUCCCUUGACGGUAUCUAACCAGAAAGCCACGGCUAACUACGUGCCAGCAGCCGCGGUAAUACGUAGGUGGCAAGCGUUGUCCGGAUUUAUUGGGCGUAAAGCGAGCGCAGGCGGUUUCUUAAGUCUGAUGUGAAAGCCCCCGGCUCAACCGGGGAGGGUCAUUGGAAACUGGGAGACUUGAGUGCAGAAGAGGAGAGUGGAAUUCCAUGUGUAGCGGUGAAAUGCGUAGAUAUAUGGAGGAACACCAGUGGCGAAGGCGGCUCUCUGGUCUGUAACUGACGCUGAGGCUCGAAAGCGUGGGGAGCGAACAGGAUUAGAUACCCUGGUAGUCCACGCCGUAAACGAUGAGUGCUAAGUGUUGG
rnacentral:rRNA from 1 species